rnacentral:rRNA from 1 species
GAUGAACGCUGGCGGCGUGCCUAAUACAUGCCAGUCGAGCGAACAGAUGAGGAGCUUGCUCCUCUGACGUUAGCGGCGGACGGGUGAGUAACACGUGGAUAACCUACCUAUAAGACUGGGAUAACUUCGGGAAACCGGAGCUAAUACCGGAUAAUAUAUUGAACCGCAUUGUUCAAUAGUGAAAGACGGUUUUGCUGUCACUUAUAGAUGGAUCCGCGCCGCAUUAGCUAGUUGGUAAGGUAACGGCUUACCAAGGCAACGAUGCGUAGCCGACCUGAGAGGGUGAUCGGCCACACUGGAACUGAGACACGGUCCAGACUCCUACGGGAGGCAGCAGUAGGGAAUCUUCCGCAAUGGGCGAAAGCCUGACGGAGCAACGCCGCGUGAGUGAUGAAGGUCUUCGGAUCGUAAAACUCUGUUAUUAGGGAAGAACAAAUGUGUAAGUAACUAUGCACGUCUUGACGGUACCUAAUCAGAAAGCCACGGCUAACUACGUG